rnacentral:tRNA from 1 species
GCCUUCAUAGUGUAAUGGUCAGCACACUCGGUCUGUGUUCGAGAGGUCCAAGGUUCGACUCCCGGCGAAGGCA